ensembl:lncRNA
CUUUGUUUCCUGUUUGGAUUUCUCGGGCUGUUUGUUUCCCCUCUGAGCCUGAGCGAACUCACAGGUUCCCGAAUGUGCCGCUGUCGUCACACGCCUGCUGCAUUGCUCACAUUCCUCGCAUACCUCCCCGGCUGUUUGGGAGGCAGGAAUGCGGCGGCGCGGCGCGGACGCCAACAAAGCUCGAAAAAUCCGUUUAUGGAAGAGCUUUGAUGAGCGGAGACUGUGGAUCCGUGAGACGCCGCGAGACAGGAGGAAAGUCUGCCGGGUUGGGGGGAGAGAAGGAGCGCUUGAUUCGCGAGCGGUCCCGGGUGGGGGGAAACACCUCCCCGGGCUGAAUCACUGUCUGUAAAUGUGGUGUGGGAGUCAGACGGCACGGAUCCAGUGUGCAGAGUCUGUGUGGUCCCCCUUUCUGCAGGGACGGAUUAAAGUCUGCUCUCCGGGUUUACCACACGUCUGGAGCCAGAAAGGCCUCAUUUAGGGCCCCAGACGGGCGGAGUCGGCGUAGAGCGGAGGUGGGGCAGACGACCACAGCGCCGUCUGAUACGGUGACAGUCGCCGGCUUUAAUGAAGUGGUAUUUUUAGAAGAAGUGAGGCGGGAGGAUUUGGAUAUUCCUCCGGAUUGCGAACGCUCAGAGUCGAGAGAAGCACCUCAGAGGAGCCGCGUGGAAACGAUCGGACCUGAGGUGAGGAGACGAAGGGACCUGAGGUGAGGAGACGAAGGCCCUGAGGUGAGGAGACGAAGGCCCUGAGGUGAGGAGACGAAGGACCUGAGGUGAGGAGACGAAGGGACCUGAGGUGAGGAGACGAAGGACCUGAGGUGAGGAGACGAAGGGACCUGAGGUGAGGAGACGAAGGGACCUGAGGUGAGGAGACAAAGGACCUGAGGUGAGGAGACGAAGGCCCGGAGGUGAGGAGACGAAGGACCUGAGGUGAGGAGACGAAGGCCCUGAGGUGAGGAGACGAAGGACCUGAGGUGAGGAGACGAAGGACCUGAGGUGAGGAGACGAAGGCCCUGAGGUGAGGAGACGAAGGGACCUGAGGUGAGGAGACGAAGGCCAACGAGAGCGUCCUGUUUGAUCUCUUCUGCAGGACUCGUCAUGUGAUCAGCAGGGACCAAUCGCACCUGCUCACCGGCAGCAAGCUCCUCCGCUCGCCUCCUCGGGACGGAAAUCAAGCAUCAAACAUCUUAAUUAAAGUCAUUCAUGAAAAUCGGUCGUUUAUUCCUCUGUUAUGAAAUGUGUUUCUCAGUCUAUAAUUAUUAGGGUUGAUCAGCACCUAAUAACCAAAAUAAAAGAACAUUUAGUUUAGAACAGAAACACACCUGACAGAGAGAUGUUACACGUUUAAUUAAAAUAAUGAAUUUAUUAUUCAUUAAAGGAUGCAUAAGAAUAAAAAGUGCCCGCUGACAUUUCCCCCCCUUCUCUCCUCGUUAAAGUCAACGUGUGAAAGCCGGACUUUUGCUGUGAUGAGUUUAUAGUUUCAUAACGAGUUUCUAAGAAAGAAAAAUGUUAAUAGAAGCUUUUAAUACGUCCCCUAAAUAUGGUUUUAAUAUGUUUGCAUGAGCCUGCCUGACGCUCCGCCCCCCCUGUGCUGCACCCAGAGCUCAUUUCUGUGUUUUACUUUAUCAACUUAUCAAACAGACCGACAGCCGCUUCCUGCAGACACGUUGGAAAUAAACAGUUUGAUGUCAUCAUGAAAUAAACAGUUUGAUGUCAUCAUGAAAUAAACAGUUUGAUGUCAUCAUGAAAUAAACAGUUUGAUGUCAUCAUGAAAUAAACAGUUUGAUGUCAUCAUGAAAUAAACAGUUUGCUGUCUUCAUGACAUGAAGAGUUUGCUGUCUUCAUGAGAUGAAGAGUUUGAUGAAGAGUUUGCUGUCUUCAUGAGAUGAAGAGUUUGAUGAAGAGUUUGCUGUCUUCAUGAGAGGAAGAGGCAUCAGGAUGAAACUGAAACGUUUUCUUCUUUCACAACGUGUUGAAAAUAAAGACGCAACGAGUCUCGUCUCUGAACUUCUCAUGCAAAUCCGCUGCAGCUUUAAAGAAGUCUUUACUGACAUUAAUCACAUGAUUUCCAUGACAUUUGCAUGUCAUUUGCAUGGACAGAGACAUUUCCCAAAGCUGCUCAUUGUCUUCAUGGACUCCGGACCUUCGUCCUUUAACUGCCGGGGUCGGAGGCUGUUAAACCGAACAGAAGAGGCCGAGAGCUUUGUAACCACCUGUGGUUCCACAAAGGCUCCGGUCUGAAAUGCUCACACCGGGUCAGUUUGGGAGGAAACGCCGCUUUACCCAUGAGCCUCGGCUGCUGCUGCUGCGGAGCAGAAGAAGAAGAAGAAGAAAUGAGGCAGUGGAGAGAUUUUAACCCAUGGAUGUUUAUCAGCAGAAUGAGAUGUUCUGUGAGGAGCUUUGUUAGUGAAAUGCAAUAAAAUGUAAUGUGUCAUAAGGCCGAUAUUUUCAAGUUACACUUGAAGAGUUUGACUUUAAAUAUGAAUCAUAGAAUUAUGUAUUUUUAUUUGUGAAAACAUGCAUCAUUCUGUAAAUUAUUUUAUGACUUCAAAGGAACACGUUUCUCUAUCAAGUGAAAAUAAUAUUGAUUUUAUUUGUUAUGAGAUUAAUUUGGAGGUUGAGAUGAUUUCAGAGGAAACACACACACACACAUACACACACACACACACACACACACACACAUAUUUCUAACAAACAUCCAGCAUUUUGUGUGAUGAAACGUUUUCUAGCUCUCUAUAAAUCUGCUGUGUGACUCAAUCUGUCCCAAUAAAUCUUCAAUAACAUCGUUAUUCAUUCUGUAAUUUGCAACUCGUUCUAAACUGUGUAAAUUUGCCCAAACCGGAUUUAGACAGAAAUAAA